rnacentral:rRNA from 1 species
GUAGUGGGGGAUAGCCCGGGGAAACCCGGAUUAAUACCGCAUACGCCCUACGGGGGAAAGCAGGGGAUCUUCGGACCUUGCGCUAUUGGAUGAGCCUAUGUCGGAUUAGCUAGUUGGUGGGGUAAAGGCCUACCAAGGCGACGAUCCGUAGCUGGUCUGAGAGGAUGAUCAGCCACAUCGGGAGUGAGACACGGCCCGAACUCCUACGGGAGGCAGCAGUGGGGAAUAUUGGACAAUGGGCGCAAGCCUGAUCCAGCCAUGCCGCGUGUGUGAAGAAGGCCUUCGGGUUGUAAAGCACUUUCAGUAGGGAGGAAAACCUGAUGGUUAAUACCCAUUGGGCUUGACGUUACCUACAGAAGAAGCACCGGCUAACUCCGUGCCAGCAGCCGCGGUAAUACGGAGGGUGCGAGCGUUAAUCGGAAUUACUGGGCGUAAAGCGCGCGUAGGCGGUUUGGUAAGCGAGAUGUGAAAUCCCCGGGCUUAACCUGGGAACUGCAUUUCGAACUGCCAGGCUAGAGUAUGGUAGAGGGUAGUGGAAUUUCCUGUGUCGCGGUGAAAUGCGUAGAUAUAGGAAGGAACACCAGUGGCGAAGGCGGCUACCUGGACCAAUACUGACGCUGAGGUUCGAAAGCGUGGGGAGCAAACAGGAUUAGAUACCCUGGUAGUCCACGCCGUAAACGAUGUCAACUAGCCGUUGGGACUCUUGAAGUCUUAGUGGCGCAGCUAACGCACUAAGUUGACCGCCUGGGGAGUACGGCCGCAAGGUUAAAACUCAAAUGAAUUGACGGGGGCCCGCACAAGCGGUGGAGCAUGUGGUGUAAUUCGACGCAACGCGAAGAACCUUAC